rnacentral:lncRNA from 1 species
ACUCUCUAGACACACUCUCUCAAACUCUAGCCAACGAAAUUCUCUUACCCAUAAGCUCCUAAUCAAAGCCCAACCAUCACAAACAACAAAUCAGAAGCAUCAAAGCCAAAAAAACAGAAAUCGAAGCUAGAAAAGGUACGAAAUUCCCUAAUUUUGAAAUCCUUCGAUUCAAUGUUAAUUGAUGCAAUUGAUUGUUUAAAGUUGUGUAAUAAGGAGUCUAUUAAUGUUCUGGGUUGUAAAAACACAGACUCAUAACAUCAAAGUG